rnacentral:tRNA from 1 species
GGGAAUAGCUCAGUUGGUAGAGCACGACCUUGCCAAGGUCGGGGUCGCGAGUUCGAGUCUCGUUUCCCCCG